CCACCUCAAAAGCAUUUCUUGGACCAAAGAAACAAAGAAGACUUCUGUUUUAUAGAUACACAUAUUUAGUUAGAGAUGGCUUCUUUCACUCGUUUCUUCGUCCUCCUUCUCAUUUUCUCAGUUUCAUCAACAUCAAUGGUGCUCAAAGCAUAUGGUCAACAAAGGAUAUGCGAAGAGGUUUUAAGGAACCCAACAAAGCCUUUGUGUGAUCCUUCGGAGUGCGAUGAAUUCUGCGAGCAAAGGCAUGGAGAUGUCAAAUGGUAUACCAAAUGCGUAGAAACAGUUUGCAUUUGCUUUUGGAAAUGUAAUUAGUUAUUAAUUAUUAAUUAUUAAUGUUGGCUAAUUUUUUGUUGCUUCUUAUAAUAAUAAGGGAGAGGAAAUAAGUUUGAAAAGUUUCCUCGUGCAAUUGUUACGAAUGGAGAAUAGACUCUUUAUAUUAUAUUAUAUUAUAUUUUAUUUUUA